rnacentral:rRNA from 1 species
AACGAACGCUGGCGGCAUGCCUAACACAUGCAAGUCGAACGAGACCUUCGGGUCUAGUGGCGCACGGGUGCGUAACGCGUGGGAAUCUGCCCUUGGGUUCGGAAUAACAGUUAGAAAUGACUGCUAAUACCGGAUAAUGUCUUCGGACCAAAGAUUUAUCGCCCAGGGAUGAGCCCGCGUAGGAUUAGCUAGUUGGUGAGGUAAAGGCUCACCAAGGCGACGAUCCUUAGCUGGUCUGAGAGGAUGAUCAGCCACACUGGGACUGAGACACGGCCCAGACUCCUACGGGAGGCAGCAGUGGGGGAAUAUUGGACAAUGGGCGAAAGCCUGAUCCAGCAAUGCCGCGUGAGUGAUGAAGGCCUUAGGGUUGUAAAGCUC